rnacentral:rRNA from 1 species
UUCCGGUUGAUCCCGCCGGAGGUCACUGCUAUCGGGGUUCGAUUAAGCCAUGCGAGUCGAGAGGGUUCAGACCCUCGGCGGACUGCUCAGUAACACGUGGAUAAUCUGCCCUAUGGUGGAGGAUAACCCCGGGAAACUGGGGAUAAUACUCCAUAAGUCAGGAGUAUUGGAAUGUCUCCUAACUGAAAGUUUCGGCGCCAUAGGAUGAAUCUGCGGCCGAUUAGGUAGUUGUUGGGGUAACGGCCCAACAAGCCCGUAAUCGGUACGGGUUGUGGGAGCAAAAGCCCGGAGAUGGAAUCUGAGACACGAUUCCAGGCCCUACGGGGCGCAGCAGGCGCGAAAACUUUACAAUGCAGGAAACUGUGAUAAGGGAACCCCGAGUGCCCGUACACGCGGGCUGUCCCGGUGUUUAAAACACAUCGGAAGAAAGGGCCGGGCAAGACCGGUGCCAGCCGCCGCGGUAAUACCGGCGGCUCGAGUGGUGACCACUUUUAUUGGGCUUAAAGCGUUCGUAGCUUGAUUUUUAAGUCUCUUGGGAAAUCUCACGGCUUAACUGUGAGGCGUCUAAGAGAUACUGGGAAUCUAGGGACCGGGAGAGGUAAGAGGUACUUCAGGGGUAGAAGUGAAAUUCUGUAAUCCUUGAGGGACCACCGAUGGCGAAGGCAUCUUACCAGAACGGCUUCGACAGUGAGGAACGAAAGCUGGGGGAGCGAACGGGAUUAGGUACCCCGGUAGUCCCAGCCGUAAACUAUGCGCGUUAGGUGUGCCUGUAACUACGAGUUACCGGGGUGCCGAAGUGAAAACGUGAAACGUGCCGCCUGGGAAGUACGGUUGCAAGGCUGAAACUUAAAGGAAUUGGCGGGGGAGCACCACAACGGGUGGAGCCUGCGGUUUAAUUGGAUUCAACGCCGGG